GGAGAAGGCACAAGUCUUUUGCAGUGGGAUUGGGACUCCUAUUCAUUAUGGCCAGCCACUUACUACCAGCCAGACUAGUGGAUUCUGCCCUUGGCAAAUAGUGCUGACCUUCACACUGGCUCCCUCUUUUGAGGUUGAAUAAAUUAUUUUAAGUCUAUGUAAUUAAUUUCCUGUUCCAUUUCCCAGAGAGGCAGCAGAAAUAGGCAGGAAGGACAGCAGAAUCCAGGGGACUUCAGUGGAAGAAAGCCAGCAGCUGUGCUGAUGGGGUGUUCCAGGAGCUGCACUGUGGCGGUUGUGCUGUCAUUCAUAAAAGACCCUUGGAGAGGGGAUGAGCAGUGAUGUGACAAAGUUUUCUGAUAAAGCUGUAGUUAUGCAGGAUAAUGGAGGAGG
rnacentral:lncRNA from 1 species